AGAGUUUGAUCAUGGCUCAGAUUGAACGCUGGCGGCAUGCCUUACACAUGCAAGUCGAACGCGAAAGGGGGCAACCCCGAGUAGAGUGGCGAACGGGUGAGCAAUACAUCGGAACAUUUCCUGUAGCGGGGGACAACCUCGAGAAAUCGAGGCUAAUACCGCAUACGAUCUACGGAUGAAAGUGGGGGACCGCAAGGCCCCACACUAUAGGAGUGGCCGAUGCCGGAUUAGCUAGUUGGUGGGGUAACGGCCUACCAAGGCGACGAUCCGUAGCUGGUUUGAGAGAACGACCAGCCACACUGGGACUGAGACACGGCCCAGACUCCUACGGGAGGCAGCAGUGGGGAAUUUUGGACAAUGGGCGAAAGCCUGAUCCAGCCAUGCCGCGUGAGUGAAGAAGGCCUUCGGGUUGUAAAGCUCUUUCGGCGGGGACGAAAUAGCGCGGGGUAAUAUCCCGCGUCGAUGACGGUACCCGAAGAAGAAGGACCGGCUAACUACGUGCCAGCAGCCGCGGUAAUACGUAGGGUCCAAGCGUUAAUCGGAAUUACUGGGCGUAAAGCGUGAGUAGGCGGUUUCGCAAGUCCGAUGUGAAAUCCCCGGGCUUAACCUGGGAACUGCGUUGGAAACUACGAAGCUAGAGUGCGGCAGAGGGGGGUGGAAUUCCAGGUGUAGCAGUGAAAUGCGUAGAGAUCUGGAGGAACACCGAUGGCGAAGGCAGCCCCCUGGGUUAGCACUGACGCUCAUACACGAAAGCGUGGGGAGCAAACAGGAUUAGAUACCCCCGUAGUCC
rnacentral:rRNA from 1 species